rnacentral:tRNA from 1 species
GAGAUUAUAGUCAAUUAUGACACCUGAUUUGCAUCUAGGAAGUGCUACUUUUAGCUGGUCUU